CUGUGUGUGAGGUCUGCUGGUGUCUGACAGGGUCUGUGUGUGAAGACCCACCCUGUGUGUGAAGGUCCACCCUGUGUGUGAAGGCCCACCCUGUGUGUGAGGUCUACCCUGUGUGUGAGGUCUGCUGGUGUCUCUGACAGGGUCUGUGUGUGAAGCCCACCCUGUGUGUGAAGCCCACCCUGUGUGUGAGGUCUGCUGGUGUCUGACAGGGUCUGUGUGUGAAGCCCACCCUGUGUGUGAAGCCCACCCUGUGUGUGAGGCCUGCUGGUGUCUGACAGGGUCUGUGUGUGAGGCCCACCCUAUGUGUGAAGCCCACCCUGUGUGUGAAGGUCUGCUGGUGUCUCUGACAGGGUCUGUGUGUGAGGCCCACCCUGAGUGUGAAGGUCUGCUGGUGUCUGACAGGGUCUGUGUGUGAAGGCCACCCUGUGUGUGAGGUCUGCUGGUGUCUGACAGGGUCUGUGUGUGAAGCCCACCCUGAGUUUUUGAAACCUAAUGAGAGGAAAGUUUUCUUUGCUAAAGAACAGGAGGCUUGGGUAGGACCGUAGUCUGGAAGCCAACUUUAGAAAUGACCAUGUUGACAAGAGCCUCACACCUGAAAGCCUCCCUGGAGCAUGUGCCACCGUCCUUGGACAUUGGCGCUCUAGUCCCAGAAGGGGGAACGGUGAGGGGCUCACAGGCAGAGUUGAGGCCCAGAACAUACAUGGUGGGAGGAGAUGACCAGUUCUGGCCAGUUGUCUUACUGCUCUACAUGGGUCUGGUGUACUCACG
ensembl:lncRNA